ensembl:misc_RNA Metazoa_SRP Metazoan signal recognition particle RNA
GCUGGGCAUGGUGGCGCAUGCCUGUAAUCCCAGCUACUUGGGAGGCUGAGGCAGGAGAAUUGCUUGAACCCAGGAGGCAGGGGUUGCAGUGAGCUGAUAUUGUGCCACUGCACUCCAGCCUGGGCAACAAGAGCGAAACUCCGUCUCAA